UACGUAGGGUCCGAGCGUUGUCCGGAAUUACUGGGCGUAAAGAGCUCGUAGGUGGUUUGUCGCGUUGUUCGUGAAAAACUCACAGCUCAACUGUGGGCGUGCGGGCGAUACGGGGCAGACUAGAGUACUGCAGGGGAGACUGGAAUUCCUGGUGUAGCGGUGGAAUGCGCAGAUAUCAGGAGGAACACCCGGUGGCGAAGGCGGGGUCUCUGGGGCCCGAUACUGACGCUGAGGAGCGAAAGCGUGGGGGAGCGAACAGG
rnacentral:rRNA from 1 species